UGAGUAACGCGUGGGAAUCUACCUAGUUCUACGGAACAACAGAGGGAAACUUCUGCUAAUACCGUAUACGCCCUAAGGGGGAAAGAUUUAUCGGAAUUAGAUGAGCCCGCGUAAGAUUAGCUAGUUGGUGGGGUAAUGGCCUACCAAGGCGACGAUCUUUAGCUGGUCUCGGAGAGGAUGAUCAGCCACACUGGGACUGAGACACGGCCCAGACUCCUACGGGAGGCAGCAGUGGGGAAUAUUGGACAAUGGGCGCAAGCCUGAUCCAGCCAUGCCGCGUGAGUGAUGAAGGCCUUAGGGUUGUAAAGCUCUUUCAGUGGGGAAGAUUAUGGCGGUACCCACAGAAAGAAGGCCCCGGGUUACUUCGUGGCAGCA
rnacentral:rRNA from 1 species